UUGAACGCUGGCGGCAGGCCUAACACAUGCAAGUCGAGCGGAUGAAGGGAGCUUGCUCCUGGAUUCAGCGGCGGACGGGUGAGUAAUGCCUAGGAAUCUGCCUGGUAGUGGGGGAUAACGUCCGGAAACGGGCGCUAAUACCGCAUACGUCCUGAGGGAGAAAGUGGGGGAUCUUCGGACCUCACGCUAUCAGAUGAGCCUAGGUCGGAUUAGCUAGUUGGUGGGGUAAAGGCCUACCAAGGCGACGAUCCGUAACUGGUCUGAGAGGAUGAUCAGUCACACUGGAACUGAGACACGGUCCAGACUCCUACGGGAGGCAGCAGUGGGGAAUAUUGGACAAAGGGCGAAAGCCUGAUCCAGCCAUGCCGCGUGUGUGAAGAAGGUCUUCGGAUUGUAAAGCACUUUAAGUUGGGAGGAAGGGCAGUAAGUUAAUACCUUGCUGUUUUGACGUUACCAACAGAAUAAGCACCGGCUAACAUCGUG
rnacentral:rRNA from 1 species